CCGCCCGCAGUGCAGGCAGGAGGAUGGGCUGCUGCUCGGCACCCGUGCCCGCGGGCUGUGCCCUGAAAGCUGCCAACGGCACAGGGCGGAUAGUGCAGAAACUUAUGGAGAAGUUAAACGUUAAAAUCAGGCCAUCCAGGUACUUGCAUCUCAGUGUUUUAGUGGAGUCACCUGGAGAGUGCAUGAGCCGCUUCUGCUGAUGUUCAGUAACUCCUGAAACCCAGUGGAAGAGCUGGGAAUCGAGGAUAAUUUAAGUUCUUCUUUCAGAUAUCCCGGAGAAAGUGGAGUUUGCAGAGGAUGUUGAUGCUGAAGAAACUAACGAGUGCCAAAGGAGGAAUAUCGCAAUUAUAAUUCAAGUGACCUUGGAUUGUUUUAACACAAUCUAAUAAAAAGCCAUUGGAGUGAAAACAAAAAUCUUAGGUCAUACAGAUGGAGUAAAUGAAUUUGUGCUGGGGAAGAGUGAUGCUUGGAGGGACACGUGCCAACAGAAGACAUCCAACAUGUUCCACUCAGAUUGAAGUUUCUGUGAGAUGCAGUCUUCUGCUCUGGCAUGACAAAUUGCUGGUUAUGGAUCUAGUCACCUACCUGAUGGACUUGAUUUUAUAGUCUUUAGAACAGACCACCUGCUCACUCAUUUUGAAUUUCAUAUGUGACAAAGUGAAUUAAUAAGCUUUCAAGAUAAUUUUCUUUACCAAGAACAACUCAAAGAUGAAUUGUAGGGGGUGCAGCUUUAUUAGAUCUGCACAGAGAGUGUCUUUGUUGCAGGCAUCUGUGGUGGCUGGGUUGAACACACAAACAUUAUGAACGUGGCUGUGCCAAACUUGAGCUGUGAGUGAUUUCUGAGCCACACAAAGUAGUGAUGGAUCUUAUGUGACAUGCAACACCAUCUGCUCUGCUCCCUGUGGCUAUGCAGACCCAAGACUCACUUCAACAUCCUCAUCAUGCUGGGCUCUGUAACAGUGUCAUGUUGCUCAUAGCUAUGUAAAUCUAGUCUCUCUCAUCUAUCAUCCCCCUCUUGAUGCUGCUGAUAAGGCAUUACAUUUUUCUUCUUUUGGUGUCCUUUGUCUUCAUCUUGAUUUUGAUGGGUGUUCUUUGAGUCUCCCUUUUCACUAGCUCCAUAAUUAUUAGAUUACCUACCUUCCUAGCUCAUACAGUGAACUUGUCUCCUAAAAAUGGGACGUCUGUGAGUGUGGCGGCCAGCUGAAUGCCAGCCCUUUCUACCUUUGUUUCAUAAUUUUGAGCCCAUGUUUUAUUUGCCUCUUCAACAAUGGGGAAAGCAUUUGCCAUCUAUUCCCUACUGAGUGUGAGACAUAAAAGAUUUCUGAAAAUGCAGCCUCCUCUGAAUUAUCUUCUCUACAGCCUCCUGAAUUAACAGCAGAUCAGUCCCUUUAGGAUGGGGCAAUGAGAAAUGCUGGUAAUUACUGCUUGCAAGUAUAAACAGUCAUGCCCAUGUGCUGAAGGGACCUAACUAAUGCCAGCCAAUUAAAAACAGCGAGAGGAAGAUCACAGCUCCUCGGCUAAUGCAAAUACUGUGGCCUGUAAACACCGCUCUUUGCCUGGGAGAGCUCAUCUGACUUUCUUUUCUGUAAUGUUACAUGACCUCUUUUGAACCCUUUCAGAUCUCCAUGGGAUUGCAGGCCCGAGUUAUAUUGUUGGAAAAUGAUGAACUUCAUGUGAGACUUGUCAUUAGGAGUAGAAAACAAAUCCAAGACAUGGCUUAGUCCUUGUUAAGAGAAUGAGGUUUCUGUGGUCUGUUUGGAUUGUAAAUCAUCAGAAGCCUCCCUGCAACAGACCCAUUUACUUCUCCACACAGAGUAAGGACAAUAAUAUUCAAUAUAUGCCAAAAGAGCUGUGUCCUUUACUGGAAAGGUACCAAAAAUCAUCUGCAUUGCGCUAGUAAAGUCUCAGUGUGCUUCCUAUUGAAGUUGAUGGCAGGUCUUUGAAUAGGCUGGGCUAUGAGGUAGCUUAACAUUUUUGAAGCAUUAUGAUCGCAAAAUAAGAUAUUAUAUAUGGACUAAACUUUCUGCCUGAAAAGCACAGGAAGCAGUGCAAAAGCUUCCUGUGGUCACUGAAGAAACUGAAGAAAAAGAAAACUGGGGCAAAUCCUAGGCUGGUCUGUCCUGUUGGUGGCACUGGGAAUUGUUUACGAUAUUUAAAGAGGAAUCCUAGGGUGACACUGCACAUGACUACUUUCAGCAAAGCUUUUCAGAUAGGGCCUGCACCACAGGAAUUAAUGGGACUGCCAUUGGAUAGGACAGAGCUUGAGUGGUUUGCUGGCUGCAGUUCUCACUUGACAUUUUCUGGGUCGCCUGAGGUCAGUGCAGUGGCUAAAGAGAAAGAGUAGCAAACUUCAUCUGUGUGCCUAACAAACAGCUCCAUUUUACUUCAAAACAUUUUCUUACUGAAAAUUUAGAGAAACUGUGCUGUUAGAGUAGGUGAAGUUUUUGCUCAACAUAUUAAUUCUUCAACUGUUGCUAGGUGUGGUUUCAAAACAGUUGUAAUUCUACUAAUAUAUCUUCUUUAAUAACAUCAAAACAUGACUCUUCAAGGAUUUGAAAUGUGUUUCAACAAUGACCUUCCUGCUGGCAUUGCCUUGAUGGUUUGUUUUGGUUUUUUGUUGGUGUUGUACAUAGAGACAAAGCAAGUACCCUCCUUAUGUAAGAAUGCUGUCUUCUAUCAGAAAACUCGUUUAAUAAAAGCUAUAUGAAAACACCCCAUACAUACUACUGUCAAUUCUUAGCGAUC